rnacentral:rRNA from 1 species
UACGGAGGGUGCAAGCGUUAUCCGGAUUUAUUGGGUUUAAAGGGUCCGUAGGCGGAUCUGUAAGUCAGUGGUGAAAUCUCAUAGCUUAACUAUGAAACUGCCAUUGAUACUGCAGGUCUUGAGUAAAGUAGAAGUGGCUGGAAUAAGUAGUGUAGCGGUGAAAUGCAUAGAUAUUACUUAGAACACCAAUUGCGAAGGCAGGUCACUAUGUUUUAACUGACGCUGAUGGACGAAAGCGUGGGGAGCGAACAGGAUUAGAAACCUGGUAGUCC